GACGAACGCUGGCGGCGUGCUUAACACAUGCAAGUCGAGCGGAGCGGCGAACGGGUGAGUAACGCGCGAGUAACUUCCCCCCUAUCUGGGAUAACAGUUGGAAACGGCUGCUUAUUCCGGCCAGUGGGGGAUGACUCGCGUCCUAUCAGCUUGUUGGUGGGGUAGGGGCUUCCCAAGGCGACGACGGGUAGCCGGCCUGAGCGGGCGACGGGCCACGUUGAGCUGAGAUACGGCCCGAACUCCUACGGGAGGCAGCAGUGAGGAAUGUAGCACAAUGGGGGAAACCCAGAUGCAGCAACGCCGCGUGCGGGAUGACGGCCUUCGGGUUGUAAACCGCUUUCAGCCAUGACGCGGUAGUUACAGAAGAAGCACCGGCUAACUACGUGCCAGCAGCCGCGGUAAUUC
rnacentral:rRNA from 1 species